CAACUGUUCCAAUUGUUGCCAUGUUUGAACAGAGUUCGCUGGCAAGUUGAUGAACCAGGAGAAAGCUACUCCUGUUAACGAACUAGGGAAAAGUCUCAUUUUAUGGUAAUCGGUUACAUCACCACUUUGCAACGUGAAUCGCCCUAUGUGUUCUAGAGUAGACACCUCUCCCAGACCAGUAAACAGUGAGAAUUCUGGCACUUUAUAACCUCUAGGCCAUGGAUAUGCUUGGUCUACCCAAUCAGGAUAUGGUUUUGUGUACGUCGGCCUAAUGACAGGACGCACCCCAAAGACCAUCUGAUCCUGCACGAUUUCCAUAAUCUGAUUCCUCAACAUGACAUUGGGAUCAUACGGAAUUCCUACAGGUUGAUUAACCGGUUGAUUUGCAUGAGGCCUGAUGUUUGGUCCUUGAUUGGCAACAAAAUUACCAUAAUUAGGGCCAUUACCGUUAACCUGGACAUCUAUCCCCUCGUUACCACGUGGAAUAUUCUGUCCAUUGUUUAGGACAUUAUCUCUCACGUUUGGAUUACCCCCCAAGUUAGGCAUACCACUACUACUACUUUGAUUUGGUAUUGUAGCACCUCCUUGGUUUGAAGUAGAGGGGCCAGGAAGUGGUUCUACCCCUUGACUUGGACUUGGGACUGAAGGAUUAUGUCCUACGAUCGUCCUAGUUUGAAAGUGACUUGUAAGAGGUAUAGCCGGUUGACAUAUUUGGCCCACUAACUUGUUCAUUGUUUCAUUCAACAUCUUUAGUUGUUUGGCCAUAUUGUCAUAGUGUGCAUUACCACUUUGUGUAAAU
rnacentral:lncRNA from 1 species